rnacentral:rRNA from 2 species
GCCAAGGAUGUUUUCAUUAAUCAAGAACGAAAGUUAGGGGAUCGAAGACGAUCAGAUACCGUCGUAGUCUUAACCAUAAACGAUGCCGACCAGCGAUUAGGAGACGUUGAAUACAAAACACCACCAUCGGUGCGGUCGUCCUUGGCGUCUCGGUCCUUCACGGGGCCGGGGCGCGGGGGUGGCUUAGCCCGGUGGCACCGGUGAAUGACUCCCCUAGCAGCUUGUGAGAA